rnacentral:rRNA from 1 species
AGUGAACGCUGGCGGUAGGUCUAACACAUGCAAGUCGAACGGCAGCACAGUAAGAGCUUGCCCUUACGGGUGGCGAGUGGCGGACGGGUGAGGAAUACAUCGGAAUCUACUUUUUCGUGGGGGAUAACGUAGGGAAACUUACGCUAAUACCGCAUACGACCUACGGGUGAAAGCAGGGGAUCUUCGGACAUUGCGCGACUGAAUGAGCCGAUGUCGGAUUAGCUAGUUGGCGGGGUAAAGGCCCACCAAGGCGACGAUCCGUAGCUGGUCAGAGAGGAUGAUCGGCCACAUUGGAACUGAGACACGGUCCAGACUCCUACGGGAGGCAGCAGUGGGGAAUAUUGGACAAUGGGCGCAAGCCUGAUCCAGCCAUACCGCGUGGGUGAAGAAGGCCUUCGGGUUGUAAAGCCCUUUUGUUGGGAAAGAAAAGCAGCAGGUUAAUACCCCGCUGUUCUGACGGUACCCAAAGAAUAAGCACCGGCUAACUUCGUG